rnacentral:rRNA from 1 species
CAAGCGAACAAGUGCAUGUGGUGGAUGCCUUGGCGAUCACAGGCGAUGAAGGACGCGGUAGCCUGCGAAAAGCUACGGGGAGCUGGCAAACAAGCUUUGAUCCGUAGAUGUCCGAAUGGGGAAACCCACUCCUUUUGGAGUAUCCAUGGCUGAAUACAUAGGCCAUGUGAAGCGAACGCGGUGAACUGAAACAUCUAAGUAACCGCAGGAAAAGAAAUCAACCGAGAUUCCCAAAGUAGUGGCGAGCGAAAUGGGAUGAGCCUUGCACUCUUUAUUUGUAUUGUUAGCCGAACGCUCUGGAAAGUGCGGCCAUAGCAGGUGAUAGCCCUGUAGGCGAAAACAGUAUGAAAGAACUAGGUGUGCGACAAGUAGGGCGGGACACGUGAAAUCCUGUCUGAAGAUGGGGGGACCAUCCUCCAAGGCUAAAUACUCGUGAUCGACCGAUAGUGAACCAGUACCGUGAGGGAAAGGCGAAAAGAACCCCGGGAGGGGAGUGAAAUAGAUCCUGAAACCGCAUGCAUACAAACAGUCGGAGCCUCGUAAGGGGUGACGGCGUACCUUUUGUAUAAUGGGUCAGCGACUUACGUUCAGUAGCAAGCUUAACCGUAUAGGGCAGGCGUAGCGAAAGCGAGUCCGAAUAGGGCGUUCAGUUGCUGGGCGUAGACCCGAAACCAGGUGAUCUAUCCAUGGCCAGGAUGAAGGUGCGGUAACACGUACUGGAGGUCCGAACCCACUAACGUUGAAAAGUUAGGGGAUGAGCUGUGGAUAGGGGUGAAAGGCUAAACAAACCUGGAAAUAGCUGGUUCUCUCCGAAAACUAUUUAGGUAGUGCCUCGUGUCUCACCUUCGGGGGUAGAGCACUGUCAUGGUUGGGGGGUCUAUUGCAGAUUACCCCGCCAUAGCAAACUCCGAAUACCGAAGAGUGCAAUCACGGGAGACAGACAUCGGGUGCUAACGUCCGGUGUCAAGAGGGAAACAACCCAGACCGCCAGCUAAGGUCCCCAAAUAUAGCUAAGUGGGAAACGAAGUGGGAAGGCUAAAACAGUCAGGAGGUUGGCUUAGAAGCAGCCACCCUUUAAAGAAAGCGUAAUAGCUCACUGAUCGAGUCGUCCUGCGCGGAAGAUGUAACGGGGCUAAGCUAUAUACCGAAGCUGCGGAUGCGWGCUUGCWCGCAUGGUAGGAGAGCGUUCCGUAAGCCUGCGAAGGUGCCUUGUAAAGGGUGCUGGAGGUAUCGGAAGUGCGAAUGCUGACAUGAGUAGCGAUAAAGGGGGUGAAAGGCCCCCUCGCCGUAAGCCCAAGGUUUCCUACGCAACGUUCAUCGGCGUAGGGUGAGUCGGCCCCUAAGGCGAGGCAGAAAUGCGUAGCUGAUGGGAAGCAGGUCAAUAUUCCUGCACCAUUGUUAGAUGCGAUGGGGGGACGGAUCGCGGAAGGUUGUCCGGGUGUUGGAAGUCCCGGUCGCUGCAUUGGAGAAGGCGCUUAGGCAAAUCCGGGCGCGUAAUUCAAGGGUGUGGCGCGAGCUCCUUAGGGAGCGAAGCAAUUGGAAGUGGUUCCAAGAAAAGCCUCUAAGCUUCAGUCUAACGAUGACCGUACCGCAAACCGACACAGGUGGGCGAGAUGAGUAUUCUAAGGCGCUUGAGAGAACUCGGGAGAAGGAACUCGGCAAAUUGGUACCGUAACUUCGGGAUAAGGUACGCCCUUGUAGCUUGACCAGCCUGCGCUGGAAGGGUGAAGGGGUUGCAAUAAACUGGUGGCUGCGACUGUUUAAUAAAAACACAGCACUCUGCAAACACGAAAGUGGACGUAUAGGGUGUGACGCCUGCCCGGUGCCGGAAGAUUAAAUGAUGGGGUGCAAGCUCUUGAUUGAAGUCCCGGUAAACGGCGGCCGUAACUAUAACGGUCCUAAGGUAGCGAAAUUCCUUGUCGGGUAAGUUCCGACCUGCACGAAUGGCGUAACGAUGGCCACACUGUCUCCUCCCGAGACUCAGCGAAGUUGAAGUGUUUGUGAUGAUGCAAUCUACCCGCGGCUAGACGGAAAGACCCCAUGAACCUUUACUGUAGCUUUGCAUUGGACUUUGAACCGAUCUGUGUAGGAUAGGUGGGAGGCUAUGAAACCGGAACGCUAGUUUCGGUGGAGCCGUCCUUGAAAUACCACCCUGGUUUGUUUGAGGUUCUAACCUUGGCCCGUGAUCCGGGUCGGGGACAGUGCAUGGUAGGCAGUUUGACUGGGGCGGUCUCCUCCCAAAGCGUAACGGAGGAGUACGAAGGUACGCUAGGUACGGUCGGAAAUCGUGCUGAUAGUGCAAUGGCAUAAGCGUGCUUAACUGCGAGACCGACAAGUCGAGCAGGUGCGAAAGCAGGUCAUAGUGAUCCGGUGGUUCUGUAUGGAAGGGCCAUCGCUCAACGGAUAAAAGGUACUCUGGGGAUAACAGGCUGAUACCGCCCAAGAGUUCAUAUCGACGGCGGUGUUUGGCACCUCGAUGUCGGCUCAUCUCAUCCUGGGGCUGUAGCCGGUCCCAAGGGUAUGGCUGUUCGCCAUUUAAAGAGGUACGUGAGCUGGGUUUAAAACGUCGUGAGACAGUUUGGUCCCUAUCUGCCGUGGGCGUUGGAUAUUUGAAGGGGGCUGCUCCUAGUACGAGAGGACCGGAGUGGACGAACCUCUGGUGUACCGGUUGUCACGCCAGUGGCAUCGCCGGGUAGCUAUGUUCGGAAGAGAUAACCGCUGAAAGCAUCUAAGCGGGAAACUCGCCUUAAGAUGAGAUAUCCCUGGGGACUAGAUCCCCUUGAAGGGUCGUUCGAGACCAGGACGUUGAUAGGUCAGGUGUGUAAGCGCAGUAAUGCGUUCAGCUAACUGAUACUAAUUGCCCGUAAGGCUUGAUCC